rnacentral:misc_RNA from 1 species
UUUCUCUAAUGAUUCUUCUAUGAAGCUUUGCACACAGCGACUCAAAAUAACUUGUGGAGGUUCACUGUCAAAAAGUGAGCGAUGUCACUGAAAUGCUAGGAAUCCAUCUGGAAUGCCAGCAGCCUUGGUUCUGAGUGUCAGAAUUGGGGUUCACAGAUUAAGUGGUGACAGUCAAGGUGGUUCACCAGUGGGGUGAACAAAUAUACCUGAUUAAGAUAUAAUCGGUCAAAUGUUGCAAGACGUGUCUUGAGCCACGUUCCGUAGGUGAACCUGCGGAAGGAUCAUUACCUAGUGGGGGUCUCUCAGGCCCGACCUCCCACCCUGUGUUUUUGUGACUUUGUUGCUUUGGCGGGCCCGCCUCGAUGAGAGGCCGCCGGAAGCUCACCGUUUUGAGCCCGUGCCCGUCAGUAGCCCCCUUAAAUUCUUAAUAAACCUGUCGUCUGAGUUAACGGAUAUAAUGAAAAAAAACUUUCAACAACGGAUCUCUUGGUUCUG